GCCAAUCAGAUUUCGUCUUGCUCUAGGCAACGACAGUGCUGAACUAUAUCCAGAUAUGAUCGCUGAUCUCAUGACAGGUGGAACGGGUGGAACUUGUGUAUUUCUGUCUCAGAAUGACUCUGAGAACGACUAUAGCUGCGAGAGCUCGACAAGACGUGCGUGUGAUCAACCGUUUGAAGAAGCGGCUCUUGCUCAGGAGACAGAAAGACAGCCAACGGGAGAGGAGAGCGCCAACCGCCACGGGCAGCUCAUAAAGCCCAGACAACUUCAUAAAAAGAGGAAACUGAGAUACAGAGAGAGAAAAUUGAAAGACAGAAACAAAGUGAAUGGGAAAGGCAGAUUGACAGACACACAGACAAAGGAUGGACAUCUGUUCUGAAGCUAGAAAGUGGCUUCUCUUUGUCUGACGCCGCCUUUCAAUAGCCUCACGUCAGGAGACACAAAGGAGAUGCACAAUGGCUCGUUGAGAGACAAAGAAUCACUAUAGCUUCCCUGAGAAUGUUUCAGGCUGCCCAGAUUUAUUCUGUGGCAGGAGAUGGUGCAUAGCAUCAGACUGGCGAUGGUUCAGUCCGUUCCUGCCACUGGAACUGAUUGCUCUCAUUAGAUUCUUUAGCCUCUGGGUCAAAUCCAGCUACUGGAUCUGUGAGCUCGCUGAUAUUCCACAACCCAGGCCAAUUUCCCUAAUGUUUUCUCCGUCUCUUUCAUUCCUUUUUUUGUCCUUCAUUCAGCUGGAUGUUACAGGCUUCUCAUAUUGUAUGUAGCGAAGUGACAUAGAGGUCUGCGCGGGACUGAUUUUUCUCAUUCGCUCUCUUUGCAACUUGUUUAUGCAUUUUGUUUUUCACUAAGGUGUUUAAUCUUUUUGAUUUGGCCAAAAGGAAAGAGAAAUGUUUGCAUUUGCUACGAGAAAAUUGCAGUGGUUGCAAAAAGAAUACUUCUAAAUAAAGAAUCAUUAAACAUUAUUAGCAGUUUAAUUUAUGCAAGGGAA
ensembl:lncRNA